rnacentral:lncRNA from 1 species
GGCGCCUGUAAUCCCAGCUACUCGGGAGGCUGAGGCAGAAGAAUCGCUUGAACCCAGGAGGCAGAGGUUGCAGUGAGUCGAGAUCGCGCCACUGCACUCCAGCCUGCUGGGUGACUGAAUGAGACUCCGUCUCAAAAAAAAAAGAGUGUUCCUAGCAGCGGUGACAUGGCAGCUGUGGUGGGGCUCUGAGGCUGAGGAGGUGGGGACUCUGAAGAACUGAAAGAAGGAUGAAGACAGCUGGAAGUCAGGAGCACGAGGAGAGUGUGUGUGUCUAUGUGUAUGUUGUGUGUGUGUACGUUGUAUGUGUGUAUGUUUGUAAUGUUUGUAUGUUGUGUGUAUGUAUUGUGUGUCUGUGUGUGUGUAAGGGUGGAGCCCCAGGUGAGGAUGGGAGAGUGGGCAGGGCAGUGGUGUGUGUCUCAGGAGAAAAAGAAAGGCCGCUGGCCCUGACCUGUUCUGCGGGGAUCACUGCUGUGUAUGUUGUGUGUGUGUGUCUGUGUGUUGUGUGUGUAUGGUGUGUCUGUAAGUCGUAUGUUGUGUGUGUUGUGUGUCUGUAUGUGUUGUGUGUGUGUUGUGUGUCUGUAUAUGUUGUGUGUGUGUGUUAUGUGUCUGUGUGUGUAAGGGUGGAGCCCCAGAUGAGGAUGGGAGAGCAGGCAGGGCAGUGGUGUGUGUAGCAGGAGGAAAGGAAAGGCCGCUGGCUCUGACUUCUACUCUAGGGAUCACUGCUGUGUGGUGAGCCAGGGGGACCCAAGGGAGGAGUUGCUGUGGUCCCG